CGACCCAAAUAAUGAAAUACGUAAAUUUGACACAAUUUCCUUAUCAUGAAGUCACAUUUAAAAAACGAAAUUGUCUCGAAAGAGGUAAAUAAAAAGGUUGGAUCAAAAUUGCAAUCUAUUGACAAUGUAUGCCAAUAGUUUAAUUCGUCACAAAUUCCAAUAUCGACGUUUUUUGUCCGGAAAUAAAAAAUUGUGUAAAUGCCUGCCUUUCACUAACAGAUUUUACUUUGUGAUGUACGACUGUCAUUCCCCGACGGGCACCUAAAAAUGGAGAGGAAAUCAAAACGGGAGGAAGUGAAAUUGCACAUUAACUAAAUAAGAAAGAAUUAGGUGCUCCUAAAUAUAUACAAUACAAAUAGAACACAAAUAGAAAACUAUAAUGGGUUGUGAAAAAUUUAAACUACCAUUGUCAAGCUAAAAUUUAUCGAGAAAGUAAUUCCUACUUAGCAGAACCAAGAUAGACUUAGCACAAGUUACGUUAACGCUGUCAAGCCACUGACCAGUGGGUAUUGGACAUCCCAUUCCAAUAAAAAAUGCGGGAGCUGCAAAGAAGAAGAGAAAAAAGUAGCAACAGAACUUUUUCUUGCUAAUGCUUAUAACAUA